rnacentral:rRNA from 1 species
GUGAGGAAUAUUGGUCAAUGGGCGGGAGCCUGAACCAGCCAAGUCGCGUGAAGGAAGAAGGAUCUAUGGUUCGUAGACUUCUUUUGCAGGGGAAUAAAGUGCAGGACGUGUCCUGUUUUGUAUGUACCCUGAGAAUAAGGAUCGGCUAACUCCGUGCCAGCAGCCGCGGUAAUACGGAGGAUCCGAGCGUUAUCCGGAUUUAUUGGGUUUAAAGGGUGCGUAGGUGGUUUGAUAAGUCAGCGGUGAAAGUUUGCAGCUUAACUGUAAAAAUGCCGUUGAAACUGUCGGACUUGAGUGUAAAUGAGGUAGGCGGAAUGCGUGGUGUAGCGGUGAAAUGCAUAGAUAUCACGCAGAACUCCGAUUGCGAAGGCAGCUUACUAAGCUACAACUGACACUGAAGCACGAAAGCGUGGGGAUCAAACAGGAUUAGAUACCCGGGUAGUCC